UUUAUAUUUGCUAAAUAAAAGUUAAAAAAAAAACCUGAAACAUUUAGAAAACUUUAUCUCCAACUUUUUUUUUAUUCUGAGCUUCCUCUCCCUCUUCUCUCUCUCCUCUUUGUGUGUGUGUGUGUGUAUACGUAUACACUUCUGCCUCCAUCUCUCCCUCCUGUAAAUCUCCCCCCAUUCCUGAUAUUUGAUAGUUGCCAUUGCCCUGUCUUCAGGGUCACUUAGUCCUCCUCAUCUCUAUUCUGAUGUAAACACACAGUGUGUCCCUAAUAUUAGAUACUGCAUUUUUAUUGUAGAAUGCCCUCUCAGAUUCUUUGUGUAGUUUCCAUUUUCUGAUUACAUUUCAUAACUUUUUACUUGUAUGAGCACAUUCUCCUUUAUCUAUGAAAUAUAACUAUCAUAGCUAAUUGGGUACCUUUGUUUACUAAUUUCAGUAUUGAAAUCAUCUUGGGAUCUGAAAGUUUCAGCUGAUUGUUUUGUCUUUUUUUUUUUUUUUAUUUGACAGGCAGAGUUAGAUAGUGGGAGAAAGAGACAGAAAGGUCUUCCUUCUGUUGGUUCACUCCAUGUGGGUGCAGGGCCCAAGCACUUGGGCCAUCCUCUACUGCCUUCCCGGGCCACAGCAGAGAGCUAGACUGGAAGAGGAGCAACCAGGACAGAAUCCGGCACCCCAACCGGGACUAGAACCUGGGGUAUCAGUGUUGGAGGCAGAGGAUUAGCCAAGUGAGCCGUGGUGCUGGCCAGAUUGUUUUGCCUUUUGAGAAUAGGUCACCAUUCAUUGGUCUUUUUUGCAUUUUGUUUUCAUGGUAUCCUGUACUAAUAUGGAAAUGCUGGAUUUUAGAUUUUCCCCUGAGGAAUAUUAACUAGGUUGUUGUACCCCAAUUGAUGACUCUGUUUCUUGGUUUGUUGGCUGCAAUAAGAAUUCAGUUUAUUUUAUUUAUUUUAUUUUUAUUUGACAGGUAGAGUUAGAGAUAGAGAGAGAAAAGUCUUCUUUUUGUUGGUUCACCCCCCAAAUGGCCACCACGGCCAGGGCUCUGCCAGUCUGAAACCAGGAGCCAGGUGCUUCCUCCUGGUCUCCCAUGGGGGUGCAGGGGCCCAAGCACUUGGACCAUCCUCCACUGCCCUCCCAGGCCACAGCAGAGAGCUGGACUGGAAGAGGAGCAACUGGGACUAGAACCCAGUGCCCAUAUGGGAUGCUGGCACUGUAGGCAGAGGAUUAACCAAGUGAGCCAUGGUGCCAGCACCAAGAGUUAAGUUUCUAAAAAUUUCUACCUGUAUGGCUUUGAGUCUGUUCUCUACCUCGGGUUGAAGGUUUGGUUCAUGCAACAUUUAAACUGCCUCUUUUUAGCUUUUUGUUUGAAAAAGUGCUCCCUCCUCUGGCUUUCUUUUUGGUGGGGGGAGAGGGUAGGUUUUCCUAAUCAAGUAGUAGUGGCUGUGGUUACUCCAAUCUGUCCUUGGCUUUGUAGGACAGAGACAUCCUCUUAACUGUUAAGAGUUUUAGCUGCCCACACAACUUUGUCCUUCCCUCUGGUUGUAUUAUUUUGUUUUCCAAAUUUUGAAGUCCCUUCUAGAUAUGGCACAUUUCUUUUCUUUCUCCGGUACCUUUGUGUGAUUUUAUUUCUGUGUUUUUCCCAUUAAGCUUCAAGGAAGGCAGACUUGUCAUCUGCAGGCUGCAUGGCUCCAGCAGUAGCUUAUAUGGCCAUCACAGAAUCGCACCUUUGACGAUUUGCCCCCAGGUGAGAUAAAGCCGAGAAGCGACUGAGGAGGAUAAAUUCCAGGGUGACCCUUUGGAAAUGAGUGGAGCUGUGUAACUUACAGAACACAUCAACACAGAAUGAGAUUAUGUGGGGAAUUGAAGAUGAACAUCAAUUUACUUGUUCCUGAAAAUAAAAGUUUCAUGAUUGUGACUUGUCAGGAUGUCAUCCUAUUAAUGCAGAACAAAAAUGCCAAGUUGUAUGAAAAUACUUCAAAAAAGUUCAUGGAAAAUCAGAAUUAAAAGGUAAAUCUAUUUGGGUGCAAGUUUUUUAAAUACAUGCAUAAUUUUUCACUGUAUGCAUUUUUCAUGAAUUUUUAAAAGACCCUUUGAAUGCAUUGUUUAGAUAAGUAGGUGUGGGUUCUUUCUUAAGAACUGGUGCAGCAUUACAGUAAUUGGAUUGAAGUGUCAAAAUCUUACCAAAGUUGGUUUGAUUCUGAAACUUUUAAAAGAAAACAAGAACUUAGAGUUUUCAAAGUUAGCAUUCUAAUUAUAGGAAUGCCUAUCGGUUUCCCAUGGCCAAUACACCUGCUUUGGAACUGUGAAUGUACAGUGGAGGGCUGAGACAUCUAGAAAGGUCAGGUCUUUGAUAUUUAUUGGCUGAUAUUCUAGUGUUAUGAAUUUGAUAAAUUGAAGAAUAAAUCACCUUUUUUUGUUGAAGUAAUGCAAACUUGGAUAAUGUAAUCACAGGUCUAUGAAUGCCUUCCAAUGACAUUCUAGAAAAAUGCAUUGCCUUACAAAUGGUAUAGGAUGUAGUUUCCCUUGAGAAGAUAGCAACUCCUGAUGAAUGGAUUGUUUUUAGCAGGAAAUAAGCUGCUCAUGUUAAAGUGAUUGAAUAUUCUCUUUCCAAUCUUAUAUAAAGUGGCCGAACAGAAAUGGUUUUUAGUAUGAUAGGUAUUCUCUUGAGUGCCGAAAGCAAUAGAUCAACUAUUAGACUUACAAACAUUUUCUUUAUGAGUGUUUCCCAUAUAUUUUUCAUCUGCUUGGACACAACAUGCUAUCCUUAAAUAUUAGAUCACAAAAGCCAUAAGUCCUACAGUAAAUGUAAUACAUUCUAUGUAGUUAUUGGGAAAUUAAUUACUAAGUAUUUUGUUUCUUUGAUAAAGCUUUUAUGAAGUGCUUUGGGGUUUUUAAUCUAUAUUUUUCAAAAUAUAUAAUUGCAUUCCAGGUUUUUUGUUGAAGCCUUUGACACAAAGAAAUAUGUCAGAAUGUUUUCUUUAUAUAUAAUUUCAGCUUUCAUAUUCUUUGGUUUGUUGACUCCCCCUUUAGGGCAUUUUGCUGGAAAGAGACUUACUUUUCACUUGGUGCCUUUGAGAAAGUCAUUAUUAAAAAAAAUGACCACUGGCAAUGCCUCUGUCCACCAGCUUGCCGCACUAGUCCACCAAUGAGAGAAGCUACAGCCAUGCUUGUUAGCCAAUUUUUCAUAUCCACUUACCUAGUUAUUAUUAGUACACAGGAAAGCUUAUUUUAGUAGUUGUUGUUUCCAGGUUAGGCUAUUUUCCCCCUAUAAUUCUAAUAAUCUGGGUUGGUGACCUCAUGAUUUGUGCCAUGCAAAUGUUAUGCAGUACUCGUCCACACAGAACCCUUCACAGCAUUGCUGGUGAUUAUAUUUCUGGUAAGCAGCCUCUGUAACUCUACUUCUAGAACUCUAGGUGCUUCCCCUUUGAUAUUACUUUUGGAAUAGAGAGCUCCCAUCCUCACUCCUCACAUCAUUAAGCAAGUUUGCAGUCCAUGGAAGUGGCCAAACCUUAGCAGGGAAACUGGUUAAGCACAAACUUCUCAUCCCUUUAGCCUGGCCCAUUUCUCUCCUCUGGCUAUAUAUGUCAUUAAACUCUCAUUACUUUGAGGAAAACUCAAUAUAAAAUACAAAAUGAAGUUCUAGGCCUCAAAAGUUUUAUAUGUGUAUAUAUAUAUAUAUAUAUAUAUAUUUGUUUUGUGUUUUGACAGGCAGAGUUAGACAGUGAGAGAGAGAGAGACAAAGAGAAAGGUCUUCCUCCUGUUGGUUCACCCCACAAAUGGCCUCUACGGCCAGUGCGCUGCACCCAUCCGAAGCCAGGAGCCAGAUGCUUCCUCCUGGUCUCCCAUGCAGGUACAGGGCCCAAGCACUUGGGCCAUCCUCCACUGCCUUCCCGGGCCACAGCAGAGAGCUGGACUGGAAGAGGAACAACUGGGACAGAAGCCGGCGCCCCAACCAGGACUAGAACUAGGAGUGCUGCUGCCUCAGGCUGAGGAUUAGCCUAGCAAGCUGCAAUGCCAGCCAAAAGUGAUGUAUUUUCUUAUUGUGUCAUUCAACAAAUUUGCAUUGUGCAUCUGCUAUGUGUCAGGCUUGGCGCUGUGCUUUUAGGAAAAUCCAGGGUAAAAUAAGCCAUCAUUUCUGAAGGAGAAUGUAAAAGGGAGAGUAGUAGAAGAGGAAAAUUUGGAAAUAAACCACAAAUGUGAGAGAGAAUAUUAAGGAAGCCUAAUGUUUAUUCUUUGGAAAGCUAACAAGAUAGACUACAGGAAAAGACUGAACAAGAAAACUGAGAAAAUAAAAAUCAUGCUUAGUGAAAAAAGAUGAUGACCUUAGACACAUUAGAGAUUUAAACAUACUAAGACAACAGUUAUAAAAGAGGAAGCCAGAUAGUACACAUGUGACAAGCUGCUCAAAAUCAUUCAUAAUCUGAGAAAUGCAAAUGUAAACACCAUGAGAUAUCUUUUUAUGCCUUGUGCAUUGGCAGAGUCAGAGAGCUAGAUGAUGUCAAGUGUUAGCAGGUGCUAAGAAUCCAGGGAUGAAGAACACUGAUUCAUUGUGAGUACAAAUAGACGGGUUCUAUCAAGCAGGAGAAUUGGCUGAUAUUGUAUAAUCUAGUUAAGUAUACACUUGUGCUUCAUGAUCCAACAUUUACACUCCUAGUUUUAUGCUGUAGGGUGGUUAACUCUAGUGUCAACUAAACUGGGCAAUGGUCAAUUUUACGUUUGCCCAGAUAUCCAAUCAAAUAUUAUGCUGUGUGUUUCUGGAUGAGGUUAACAUUUGAAUCCAUAGGCUGAGUAACACACAUGGCUCUCCCUAGUGUGGUGGAUCCCAUCCAGUCAGUUGAACCCUUCAGUAAAAUCAAAAGAAUGACCCAUCCUUGAGUAGCAGAGCGUUUUCCCUGUUUGAUGUCCUCUGAACUAGGGCCCAGGCUUUUGUUUUAACCUUUGGAUUAGAACUGAGACAUCAACUCUUCCUGGGUCUUGAACCUGCCAGCUUUGUAUCUGCAGGUACACCAUUGGCUCUCCUGGGUAUCCGGCCUCUGUCUCAGCCUGCAGCUGUGGGAACAUUCCAACCUCCACAUCUGUAACAGCCAAUUUUUCAUCUCACUGUCCCUCUCUUUUUCUCAUUCACACACACACACACACACACACACACAAUUUGUUCUGUUCUCAAGAGAAGCUUCACUAAUGGACAUGUUAAAGCCUUAUAAGGAUCUUCAUUGUGUUUGUGAAGGUACACACUGGAUAGGUAAAAUGUGAUGCAGUUCACAUCAUGGAUGACUAGGCCAUGAUUGGAAGCAACACACCAAAUGUAACAAGAUGAGUAGAUAAUGAAGAUUGAAUGCUGAAUUAAGAAAGUAAGAAGCAGAAUGCAAUACGUUAUUCAGUAUCAUUAGUGUAAAAUAAUAAGGCAUGCAUAUAAAGCAAUAGUAUAUAUUUUAUAAGACAAAUGUCUAUCUUACCAGGAUAUAUUUUUUCACAUAAAUAGAAAUCUAUGUGUGCAGGCAUGCAUGCAUAAUUCACACACACAUGUGGAUGGGUGGGUGGAUGGAUUUUGCCUUACGUGGAGAGAGAAAUGAGAGCAGACUAUGGAAAUAAGAGGGAAAGGAUAAAAAUUCAAAUAAAUAAAUAAUAAGAGCUUUACCUAGGCUAAUGCACCAAAAACUGUGGAAUGAUUAAUUAUACUCUGCUUCUUAAGGGAGAGAACGAAAAUCUGAUUGCAUCCAACAUUAAUUAGAUUACUUUAGACAAGGCAAAUAAACAAGAGUCAAGCUCCUGAGGAUCAGAGAUUCUGAGAACUGCUAAGUUCCCUUGAGGUUGUUGAUCCAAUGUACCAUGCAAGGCUGAAUCAUCUCCCCAAGCUCUCUGGGAAAAGGCUGUGCAGCCUGUGCCAGCGCCCUCUGCUGGUGAUAAGCUCAGAGCUCAUUUUACCUGUGGAUACCUGUCUGCUUGAAAGAGCUUCAGUCUACCCCAGGCUCCUGAAUGGAUCAAGACUUCCUUCUCAUAAUUUGGUUCCUUUUUCCUAACUUCCUUUGGCUCAUUUUGGUCUCAACAUAUUACCAAAGAUAUAUAAAGACAUUUUUCUUGGUAUUUAAAUCUUGAAUGUCUUGACUCCAACUUGGGAAAGCUUGGAUAAAGGAAGGGUCCUUUCCUUAAUCUUCAACUUCACUGCACAGCAUGGAAAUAUAUUUCUCCAGCUCAAAAAUCCCAUGAGUCAUAGAAUUACCUUUAAUUCUUAUCUAACUAAAAUGUCACUGAGAAUCCCAUAAAUGAGCAUCGAUAUUGAAAUAAUUAUUACAUAAAAUAUAAGAGUCCAAUGUUAAAUGUGCAACUUUGGUUUAUUAAAUAACUUCUAUUUGUAUGGUCAUGGUAUCUGGUAAGGACUGAAAGAAAGGAAACUGGGUCCCUACUCAGAAGGAAAUGAAUACACAGGAGAUUUGUGUCAUGGAGGCUGCUGCAUUCCUUUCAUUAGUGUCCAUUCACUUAGAAGUAAGCAUGGCCCAGCCUGUCUCUGCAAAAGUGUCAACUUAGAUAAAAUAUUAUGUGAUAGCUAAAACACAAAAUACUAAAUGGCUCACUCACCAUUUUUUGAAAGGAUUUAUUUAUUUAUUUAUUUAUUUUUGACAGGCAGUGUUAGUGAGAGAGAGAGACAAAAAGAAAGGUUGUCCUUCCGUCGGUUCACCCCACAAAUGGCCGAAAUGGCUGGUGCGAUGUGCCGAUCUGAAGCCAGGAAUCAGGUGCUUCCUCCUGGUCUUCCAUGCAGGUGCAGGGCCCAAGCAGUUGGGCCAUCCUCCACUGCCUUCCUGGGCCACAGCAGAUAGCUGGCCUGGAAGAGGAACAACCGGGACAGAACUGGCACCCCAAAUGGGACUAGACCCUGGAGUAUCGGAACCACAGGCAGAGGAUUAGCCAGCCUAGUGAGCCAAGGUGCCGACCUAUUUUUUUUUUUGAAAAUGGAAUUUUCUUUAUUUUUUUAUUUAGUAAAUAUAAAUUUCGAAAGUACAGUUUAUGGGUUACAAUGGCUCCCCCCUCCAUAAUUUCCCUUCCACUCGCACCCCUCCCAUCUCCCUCUCCCUCUCCCAUUCCAUUCACAUCAAGAUUCAUUUUCAAUUCUCUUUAUAUACAGAAGAUUGAUUUAGUAUAUAUUAAGUAAAGAUUUCAUCAGUUUGCACCCACACAGAACACAAAGUGUAAAAUACUGUUUCAGUACUAGUUAUAGCAUUACUUCACAUUGGACAAAAUAUUAAGGACAGAUCCCACAUGAGAAGUAAGUACACAGUGACUCCUGUUGUUGACUCAACAAUUUGACAUUCUUGGUUAUGGCAUCAGUAAUCUCCCUAGGCUCUAGUCAUGAGUCGCCAAGGCUGUGGAGGCCUUUUGAGUUUGCCAACUUCGAUCUUAUUCCGACAGGGUCAUAGUCAAAGUGGAAGUUCUCUCCUCCCUUCAGAGAAAGGUACCUCCUUCUUUGAUGGCUCCAUUCUUUCCACUGGGAUCUCACUCGCAGAGAUCUUUCAUUUAGGUGUUUGUUUUUUUUUUUUUUUUUUUUUUUUUUUUUUUUUUUUUUGCCAGAGUGUCUUGGCUUUCCAUGCCUAAAAUACUCUCAUGGGCUCUUCAGCCAGAUCUGAAUGCCUUAAGGGCUGAUUCUGAGGCCAGAGUGCUGUUUAGGACAUCUGCCAUUCUAUGAGUCUGCUGUGUAUCCUGCUUUCCAUGUUGGAUCCUUCUCUCCCUUUUUGAUUCUACCAGUUAGUAUUAGCAGACACUAGUCUUGUUUGUGUGAUCCCUUUGACUCUUAGACCUAUCACUGUGAUCAAUUCUGAACUGAAAUUGAUCACUUGGACUAGUGAGACGGCAUUGGUGCAUGCCACCUUGAUGGGAUUGUAUUGGAAUCCCAUGGCACAUUUCUAACUCCACCAUUUGGGGCAAGUCCGAUUGAGCAUGUCCCAAAUUGUACAUCUCCUCCCUCUCAUUCCCACUCUUAUAUUUAACAGGGAUCACUUUUCAGUUAAAAUUUAAACACCUAAGAAUAAUUGUUUGUGAAUUACAGAGUUCAACCAAUAGUACUAGAACAAAACAAAACAAAACAAAAAAACUAAAAUUGUGGGGAGCAACUCAGGACUAGACUGUUACUGGAAUUAAGACUUAUUCUAUGCAUCUGCUCUCCCACAAUAUGGUGCUGGGAGAGGAGUAAACAACUUCUACACAGCUGCCUCUCGCCAAUUUGACUGAUGAGCUGCAGGAGCUGAUCUUGCUCCUAAUUGGAGGAGAGCAGCAUGCUCGGCGUGUGGGUAGCAGAGUUGGGAUUGGUGGAAGAGGACUAUAAAAGAGGAGAGAGACGGCACAGAGGUGGAAGGGUCGGCAGCCAACCCGGAAAGGACCAGCAGCAAACCCGGGAAGGGCCUGAGCAGACAAACAGCGCAGGGUCCUGUGUCAUUCCUCCACGAAUGGGGGAGCGACAUAAUGGUGCUGUGACUUGGAUAGGAAGCCUAGGAGGGAUAAUGGUGCCGUGACUCGGAUAUGAAACCUAGGAGGGAAGAAGUGGGAAAAUACCAGAGAGAGAGACUAGCAAAGAGCCUAGGGAAAAGCCGGACAGAAAAAGUGCCGGGAGAAAUCUAGGGUUGAAAGUGAAAGUGAAAGCAAGAAGAAACGUAGGCUCGGAUACGGACUACGGGGGGAAGCUGGGAGAAAUCUAAGAUUGAAAGUGAAAGUGAAAGCUAGAAGAAACAGACUGGGAUAUGGACUGUGGGGAGAAGCCAGGAGAAAUGAGAGAGAAAUAUUGUUGGAAGAAAAGUUAGGAAACAUACCGGGUAGAGAAAAAUAUGUUAGGGAAAAUGAAGCCGCGGGGGUAGGCCGAAACGGAGACGUAAGCUAGGUUGGGAUUCGUCAAGUCAGCCCGGGGAGCAAAAGGUGAAAAACUAUACCGGAAGUGGAGACGUAAGCUAGGUUAGGAUCCGUCAGAUUAGCCCAGGGAGCAAAAAGACGGGAAGCCAAACCGAAAAGCGGAGGCGUAAGCUAGGUUGGAAUUCAUCAGGUUAGCCCGGGGAACUUAGACUGAAGACCGGUAGCAGAAACGUGAGCUAGGCCGUGAUUCGCGGAAGCUGCUGAGCACAGAGAAAGCACGUGGGGCACAAGCGGAGAGAGCACACAGGGCGCGAGUGGAUAGGAGAGCGCGGGGCUGGCGCGGAGGCCGUGGUGCGGGCAUGAAGGGUGCGGAGACCGCGCAGCGCGCGCGAAGCCGGGAAGCCACGCAGAUAAGAGAAGCGCAGGCUGAAGCCACGCAGAGCCGGGAAGCUGCCGCGGGGUGAGGCGCCGAGAAGCCGCCUCGGGGCAGGCGCCGGGAAGCCGCGGGGAUAAGAGAAACAGAAGUAUAGAAGUAAAAUGAGAGAAAUAAGAAUGCUGGCAGAUAGAAGUAAAAUAGGAGAGAUAGGAAUGCCCAGAGAUAGAGAAAUAGAGAAAAAUAAGGCCUCCCCACAACACAGCAAUGAGAGGGCUUGGAUUCGGUCUGCCUGAUUAGUAAGGCGAUAAGCACUUGCAGGCAGCUUGAGCAGAGUGUGCGCUGCAGGGCACCGAACAUAGGCAUGCAUCAGCGCCUAAAAACCUCCUCACAACAUGGCAAAGAGAGGACCUGGAUUCAGUUUGCCUGAUUGGUAUGGCUUGUAAGCACCUGUGGGCAACUCUAGCAAGCAGAGCAGAGUGUGCGCCGCUGGGCACCGAAGACAGGCGUGUAUCAACGCCAAAGAAUAAAAAGAAAAAAUAAAAAAUUGUGGGGAGCAACUCGGACUAGACUAAGUUACUGGAAUUAAGACUUAUUCUAUGCAUCUGCUCUCCCACAGUAUGGCGCUGGGAGAGGAGUAAACAACUUCUGCACAGCUGCCUCUCGCCAAUUUGACUGAUGAGCUGCAGGAGAUGAUCUUGCUCCUGAUUGGAGGAGAGCAGCGUGCUCAGCAUGUGGGUAGCAGAGUUGGGAUUGAUGGAAGAGGACUAUAAAGGAGGAGAGAGACAACAUGCACCAGGAACAUCCGGAUAACAUCUGAGCAGCCCCCGAGAGAGCUGGCCAGCGGUGUGCCGCUCCCCUGCAGAAGUGGGGAAAGUGACAGGCGGAGCCGCCCCUCCACGGAGGUGGAGGGGUCGGCAGCCAACCCGGGAAGGACCAGCAGCAAAUCCGGGAAGGGCCGAGCAGACAAAAGAACAGUGCAGGGUCCUGUGUCGUUCCUCCGCGAAUCGGGGAGCGGCAUAAAAUGGAUAAAGUAUUAGAUUGUACAUCAAUAGUCAGGACAAAAGCUGAUCAAGUCACUGUUUCUCAUAGUGUCCAUUUCACUUCAACAAGUUUCCCCUUUGGUGUUCAGUUAGUUGUCACUGAUCAGGGAGAACAUAUGAUAUUUGUCCUUUUGGGACUGGCUUAAUUCACUCAGCAUAAUGUUUUCCAGAUUCCUCCAUCUUGUUGCAAAUGACCGGAUUUCAUUGUUUUUGACUGCUGUAUAGUAUUCUAUAGAGUACAUGUUCCAUAAUUUCUUUAUCCAGUCUACUGUUGAUGGGCAUUUGGGUUGGUUCCAGGUCUUAGCUAUUGUGAAUUGAGCUGCAAUAAACAUUAAGGUGGGCCGGCGCCGCGGCUCACUAGGCUAAUCCUCCACUUUGUGGCACCGGCACACCGGGUUCUAGUCCCGGUCGGGGUGCGGGAUUCUGUCCCACUUGCCCCUCUUCCAGGCCAGCUCUCUGCUGUGGCCAGGGAGUGCAGUGGAGAAUGGCCCAAGUGCUUGGGCCCUGCACCCCAUGGGAGACCAGGAUAAGUACCUGGCUCCUGCCAUCGGAUCAGUGCAGUGCACUGGCCACAGCACGCUGGCCGUGGUGGCCAUUGGAGGGUGAACCAAUGACAAAGGAAGACCUUUCUCUCUGUCUCUCUCUCUCACUGUCCACUCUGCCUGUCAAAAAAAUUUUUUUAAAAAAUUAAAAAAAAAACAUUAAGGUGCAGACAGCUUUUCUGUUUGCCAAUUUAAUUUCCUUUGGGUAAAUUCCAAGAAGUGGGAUGGCUGGGUUGUAUGGUAGGGUUAUAUUCAGGUUUCUGAGGAAUCUCCAGACUGACUUCCCUAGAGGCUUAACCAGUUUGCAUUCCCACCAACAGUGGGUUAGUGUCCCUUUUUCCCCACAUCCUCUCCAGCAUCUAUUGUUGGUAGAUUUCUGAAUGUGAGCCAUUCUAACUGGGGUGAGGUGAAACCUCAUUGUGGUUUUGAUUUACAUUUCCCUGAUUGCUAGUGGUCUUGAACAUUUUUUCAUGUGCCUGUUGGCCAUUUGGAUUUCCUCUUGUGAACAUUGUCUAUUGAGGGCCUUGGCCCAUCUCUUAAGUGGGUUGUUUGUUUUGAUGUUGUGGAGUUUCUUGAUUUCUUUGUAGAUUCUGGUUAUCAACCCGUUAUCUGUUGCAUAGUUUUCAAUAUUUUUUCCCAUUCUGUCAGUUGCCUGUUCACUCUCCUGACUGUUCCUUUUUCAGUACAGAAACUUCUCAAUUUGAUGCAAUCCCAAUAGUUAAUUUUGGCUUUGAAUGCCUGUGCCACCAGGGUCUUUUCUAGGAAGUCUUUGCUGGUACCUAUAUCUUGAAGGGUUUCUCCAAUGCUCUCUAAUAAUUUGAUGGUGUCAGCUUCGUAGAGUUAAGUCUUUAAUCCAUGUUGAGUGAAUUUUUGUGUAAGGUAAAAGGUAGGGGUCUUGCUUCAUGAUUCUGCACAAACAAUUCAGAGCAAUCGAAAAAGAGGGAAUCCUCCCAAAUUCUUUCUAUGAAGCCAGCAUCACGUUAAUUCCUAAGCCAGAAAAAGAUGCAGCAUUGAAAGAGAAUUAGAGACCAAUAUCCCUGAUGAACAUAGACGCAAAAAUCCUCAAUAAAAUUCUGGCCAAUAGAAUGCAACAACACAUCGGAAAGAUCAUCCACCCAGACCAAGUGGGAUUUAUCCCUGGCAUGCAGGGAUGGUUCAACAUUCGCAAAUCAAUCAAUGUGAUUCACUACAUUAACAGACUGCAGAAGAAAAACUUUUUUAUCUCAAUAGAUGCAGAGAAAACAUUCAAUGAAAAAUAACACCCUUUCAUGAUGAAAACUCUAAGCAAACUGAGUAUGGAAGGAACAUUGUUCAGUACAAUCAAAGCAAUUUAUGAAAAACCCACAGCCAACAUCCUUUGAAUGGGGAAAAGUUGGAAGCAUUUCCACUGAGAUCUGGUACCAAACAGGGAUGCCCACUCUCACCACUGCUAUUCAAUAUAGUUCUGGAAGUUUUAGCCAGAGCUAUUAGGCAAGAAAAAGAAAUUAAAGGGAUACAAAAUUGGAAGGAAGAACUCAAACUAUCCCCCUUUGCAGAUGACAUGAUUCUUUAUUUAGGGGAUCCAAAGAACUCUAUUAAGAGACUAUUGGAACUCAUAGAAGAGUUUGGCAAAGUAGCAGGAUAUAAAAUCAAUGCACAAAAAUCAACAGCCUUUGUAUACACAGACAAUGCCAUGGCUGAGGAAGAACUUCUAAGAUCAAUCCCAUUCACAAUAGCUACAAAAACAAUCAAAUACCUUGGAAUAAACUUAACCAAGGACGUUAAAGAUCUCUAUGAUGAGAAUUACAAAACCUUAAAGAAAGAAAUAGAAGAGGAUACCAAGAAAUGGAAAAAUCUUCCAUGCUCAUGGAUUGGAAGAAUCAAUAUCAUCAAAAUGUCCAUUCUCCCAAAAACAAUUUACAGAUUCAAUGCAAUACCAAUCAAAAUACUGAAGACAUUCUUCUUAGAUCUAGAAAAAAUGAUGCUGAAAUUCAUAUGGAGACACAGGAGACCUCGAAUAGCUAAAGCAAUCUUGUACAACAAAAACAAAGCUGGAAGCAUCACAAUACCAGACUUCAGGACAUACUACAGGGCAGUUGUAAUCAAAACAGCAUGGUACUGGUACAGAAACAGAUGGAUAGACCAAUGGAACAGAAUAGCAAACACCAGAAAUCAAUCCAACAUCUACAGCCAACUUAUAUUUGAUCAAGGAUCUAAAACCAAUCCCUGGAAUAAGGACAGUCUAUUCAGUAAAUGGUGCUGGGAAAAUUGGAUUUCCAUGUGCAGAAUCAUGAAGAAAGACCCAUACCUAUUUUUUAUUUUUUUAGAAAACUUUUAUUCAAUGAACACAAAUUUCAUAGGUACAGCUUUAGGAAUAUGGCGGUUCUUCUCCCCAUACCCA